ACUUAUAUGCUUCCAUGUUUUUGAUUUCUAGGAAAUAAACGGUCAGCUGCUCCAAAAAAUGAAGAUGCUGCUCAGAGGAAUGCAGCUCUGGAGGCUUCCACUAGAAAAAAGAUUGAACUUGAGAAAAAGGCACUGCAUAUUGUUGAGCAACUCCUGGAAGAGAACAUUACUGAAGAGUUCCUUCUGAAUUCUGGAAAAUGUAUUACUCCAUCUCACUAUAAAGACAUUGUUGAUGAACGUUCUAUCAUCAAACUAUGUGGUUACCCUGUAUGUCAAAAUAAACUGGAAAAUGUAAGAUGCUUUUUUUAUGAGUAGUGUUAUCAUAAGAAUCUAUUAGCAUUUUUUAUUCUCUUGCUUAUUUUUUUCAUUUUAAAUUUAGACCAAUUUAGAAUCUAAUCAUAGAUUAGGUCAGGUAUCAUUUCAGUACAAUGCUUCUGAAGUAAAAAGUUAAAUCUGAUUGGCUGACAACCAUUGCUAUAUAUGAGAAUCAAUUACAAUCAAUUUUGAUAGUAAUAAAGAUGAAUAAGGUAUGGUUUCAUAGCCAUCCGUCAUGCAUGCAGAAAUGCUCUAAUCUUGUUCUUCUGUACCUCUGUAAGAAGAAGGAAGGACUGAAAUGAAAAAAGGUAAAAUGCAGGGGUAUUACUUUGUGACUGCAAGUCCCUUCAAAAGCAAAUGUUACUUGUGUCAAAAUUACUUAAAUACAAUAUAUCAGAGCCUUAAGUGGAACUAUGAGUUCAGUUAGAUAACCUAUGGUGUAAUACCAGUUGUGAUACAAGAAGUUACCUGGGAAAAAAAAAAUCAUGAA